AUCGCUUCUGGGCUUUAUGGCUAAGAUCAAAGUCUAGUAUCAUUUCUUAUCAGUAUAACAUAGAGGGACAGCUGACGAUUUUUGGAAACUGAUGGAGUGCUAGGAGCUUGCUUCCCCUUUGCUGCGGUUUGGCUCUGUAUUGCAGGACGUAUUGUAAAUAUAACGUCAC